AUAUGUACAUUUACAACAUAGAGAACAUACGAAUAUAUGUAAUUAUGUGCAUAGAAUGUUGCUACUUUCAAGUUUAAAUCUCAUUUGCGUGGCGUGGUUAUUCUCCGUCAAAACGUUUUUAGUCCAGGAUAAAAUAUUUUGGAAAUUCCUUAAAAAAAUCCUCAAAAACCUAAAUUCCUUAAAAAAAUCCUUAAAACUCUUCAAAAUUCCUAUUUUUAAGGAUAAUUCCUUAAAAGUGAGAGCACUGCACACGA
rnacentral:lncRNA from 1 species